UACGAAGGGGGCGAGCGUUGCUCGGAAUUACUGGGCGUAAAGGGCGCGUAGGCGGCGACUCAAGUUAGAUGUGAAAGUCCUGGGCUUAACCUGGGGACUGCAUUUGAUACUGGGUUGCUUGAAUUCGGGAGAGGAUAGCGGAAUUCCCAGUGUAGAGGUGAAAUUCGUAGAUAUUGGGAAGAACACCGGUGGCGAAGGCGGCUAUCUGGACCGACAUUGACGCUGAGGCGCGAAAGCGUGGGGAGCAAACAGG
rnacentral:rRNA from 1 species